rnacentral:rRNA from 1 species
CUUGGUCAUUUAGAGGAAGUAAAAGUCGUAACAAGGUUUCCGUAGGUGAACCUGCGGAAGGAUCAUUAAUUACGAAAGCUAUAGCCCCUUCGGGGGUUAUUGCAUCCACCCUUUGUCUACUUGUACCUCUUGUUGUUUCCUCGGCAGGCUUGCCUGCCGUUAGGAACCCCUUAAACUCUUGUAUUUACAGUAUUAAAAUCUCUGAUAACUAUUUAAAUUAUUACAACUUUCAACAAUGGAUCUCUUGGUUCUGGCAUCGAUGAAGAACGCAGCGAAAUGCGAAAAGUAGUGUGAAUUGCAGAAUUCCGUGAAUCAUCGAAUCUUUGAACGCACAUUGCGCCCCUCGGUAUUCCGUGGGGCAUGCCUGUUCGAGCGUCGUUUACACCCUCAAGCUCUGCUUGGUGUUGGGCGUCUGUCCCGCUUUAUGCGUGGACUCGCCCCAAAGUCAUUGGCAGCGGUCGUGCCAGCUUCUCGCGCAGCACAUUUGCGUUUCUUGAAGUUUGGAGGAUCAGCAUCCAGUAAGCUCUUUUAUGACUUGACCUCGGAUCAGGUAGGGAUACCCGCUGAACUUAAGCAUAUCAAUAAGCGGAGGA